GAUGAACGCUGGCGGCGUGCCUAAUACAUGCAAGUCGAGCGAACGGACGAGAAGCUUGCUUUUCUGAUGUUAGCGGCGGACGGGUGAGUAACACGUGGAUAACCUACCUAUAAGACUGGGAUAACUUCGGGAAACCGGAGCUAAUACCGGAUAAUAUUUUGAACCGCAUGGUUCAAAAGUGAAAGACGGUCUUGCUGUCACUUAUAGAUGGAUCCGCGCUGCAUUAGCUAGUUGGUAAGGUAACGGCUUACCAAGGCAACGAUGCAUAGCCGACCUGAGAGGGUGAUCGGCCACACUGGAACUGAGACACGGUCCAGACUCCUACGGGAGGCAGCAGUAGGGAAUCUUCCGCAAUGGGCGAAAGCCUGACGGAGCAACGCCGCGUGAGUGAUGAAGGUCUUCGGAUCGUAAAACUCUGUUAUUAGGGAAGAACUUAUGUGUAAGUAACUGUGCACAUCUUGACGGUACCUAAUCAGAAAGCCACGGCUAACUACGUG
rnacentral:rRNA from 1 species